CUCGGUUUCUAAAUUUUGGAAGAAAUGAUUUGGGAUCCUGUCAAUGGUCGUGUUCAAAUUGUUUUAGUAUUUUGGGGUCGAUCAUGGUCUGACAGUGACAGAAAUAUUGGACAUCCUGUCAAGAGUGAAUACUUCAACAUCUAUAUACUACCAAGUCUACAGUAUUACCUGCAAGUUUCACUUCACCAUGGUCCCAUUUAUGAGUACAAGAAAUUGCUGGUACGUACCAAUUGAUCAUGGUGAUCACAACUCAAUAACAGACAAGAUAAAUCUUGCGAUAACAUAAAAUUUCUGUAGUCAUUUAAGGGAUUAAAGAUUGCCUUGCAAAAUACCUUGCAAACUAUACUUUUGUGAAUGCUGACUUCUAACAAGACUAAUGUUCAAAGGACUAACCACAAAAAUCUUAAUAAACUGAACUGAACAAAGCUUACAAUAUAAAUCAUUGUGAAAGGAAUUUGACCUAUAAGAAAAUAAUACUUCCUUGACAGAUUUAAAUGAAAGCUGAACUAUAUUUAUUGAUGCAAAACUUUCAACAGUAACACCUAGUUUAUGAUUAAGUGCUAGUCCGAUACAAAUAAAAACAAAACUUUCUGUAAUGCAAUUAUAAAUCAAUUUGAUUAAAACACAAAUCCUAUUUCGUUUCAUUUUUUAUAGUUCAAAAUUUUGUUUUUCUUGUCUUCACAACACUAGGAUCCCCAAGAGUUGUUAUAUAUAACAGUCGUUCUAGUUGAUGUGAGGAAUUAGCCAACGAAACAGUCUGUUACGGCGAGUUCUUGGCGUGCUCUGCAUGGAACUGUGGGUAAACCACUAGAAACGUCAACGCUGAUCGAUUAAUCAAUGCCUGACGUCAUAGGGUGAAAAGCCACUCGUAUGACCCCUGACAUGACCUCCCAAUACAAUUGGUCAGAUCUUCAUGUAGUGUUGGCAAUCAAAAGUAUAUAAGAAAAAAAAAACGAAAUAUAGAUCUGUAUUUUAGUCAGACUGAUUAUAAAUAUGUAUCCAUUACAUUUAUUUUAAUUUGUAAAUCAAAUUAACUCAUUUUCUGAAAACUCUUGUUUGUCUUGCAAAAAAGCUUGUUUUACAUUAUUAUAGUUUUAAUAUAUAGUGACAAAUAAACCUUUAAUACAGCUUCAAAUAGAA